rnacentral:rRNA from 1 species
UACGUAGGGCGCAAGCGUUGUCCGGAAUUAUUGGGCGUAAAGAGCUCGUAGGCGGUCUGUCGCGUCUGGUGUGAAAUCCCAUGGCUCAACUGUGGGCUUGCAUCGGGUACGGGCAGGCUAGAGUGCUGUAGGGGAGACUGGAAUUCCUGGUGUAGCGGUGGAAUGCGCAGAUAUCAGGAGGAACACCGAUGGCGAAGGCAGGUCUCUGGGCAGUUACUGACGCUGAGGAGCGAAAGCAUGGGGAGCGAACAGG